rnacentral:misc_RNA from 1 species
CUGCCCUCAAGCACGGCUUGUGUGUUGGGCCCCCGCCCCCCGGCUCCCGGGGGGCGGGCCCGAAAGGCAGCGGCGGCACCGCGUCCGGUCCUCGAGCGUAUGGGGCUUUGUCACCCGCUCUGUAGGCCCGGCCGGCGCCCGCCGGCGACCCCCCUCAAUCUUUCCA